rnacentral:rRNA from 1 species
AGGACGAACGCUGGCGGCGUGCUUAACACAUGCAAGUCGAGCGGAAAGGCCUUUCGGGGUACUCGAGCGGCGAACGGGUGAGUAACACGUGAGUAAUCUGCCCAUCGCUUCAGGAUAGCCAUCGGAAACGGUGAUUAAUACUGGAUAUGACAUUCCUUCGCAUGUUGGGGUGUGGUAAAGUUUUUUCGGCGGUGGAUGUGCUCGCGGCCUAUCAGCUUGUGGUGGGUAAUGGCCU